CUUAAGCUCCUUCAUUAUCUUUAGAGACGAGUGCUUAUCGCUUCCAGACAGGCUGUCUCUCCAUUCCGGCACAGUGAUUACAAAUAUCAGUGAGAUGUUCAUCUCUCUUCUCAUCUCAAAAGCCAGUGAAAAGUCUUCCGGAGAACCGGUCAACCUGUCUUCGGGCUUAAUCUCAGACUGGUCAUCGUCUGCCAAGCAACAGCUUUCGAUAGCCGAGGUCAGAUAGAAAGAAAAAAUAUCUUGGCACAAAACAUUGAGAUGCUGAAAAUGAUGGAGAGGCAGUGUGGACAAUAUUCUUCAUCUAUAUCCUACAUGGAGGGCAAAGUCAAGUUAUUUAAAAGAAAUAAACUCUAGUGAAAAUACAGACAACAGAUGCAGCGUUAAGUUUGAUGGACAGUGCAUCAGGAGGAAACAUGAUACAUUAUGAUUAAAACUACCAACUACCAAACUUACUUUGAAACAGGUUAUUGAACUUGCAUCAGGCAUACCUUUUUAGAAAAAGAAAAUAGUAUAGUCAGUAGAAAUGUGUCCUGUGCAGAAAAAUUGAGAACAAGAGGACAGGCAAAUCUGAAAUCUUUAAAUUUUCAAUAAAAAUAAAUUCACAAUGCUUGAUUUAGAAGUUUGUUUUGUUGUUUUAUGUAUAAAUUUUCUAGUAA